rnacentral:piRNA from 1 species
UUCAGUUCUACUGCGCCUUGAGAG